GACGAACGCUGGCGGCGUGCUUAACACAUGCAAGUCGAACGGAAAGGCCCUGCUUUUGUGGGGUGCUCGAGUGGCGAACGGGUGAGUAACACGUGAGUAACCUGCCCUUGACUUUGGGAUAACUUCAGGAAACUGGGGCUAAUACCGGAUAGGAGCUCCUGCUGCAUGGUGGGGGUUGGAAAGUUUCGGCGGUUGGGGAUGGACUCGCGGCUUAUCAGCUUGUUGGUGGGGUAGUGGCUUACCAAGGCUUUGACGGGUAGCCGGCCUGAGAGGGUGACCGGCCACAUUGGGACUGAGAUACGGCCCAGACUCCUACGGGAGGAAGCAGUGGGGAAUAGUGCACAAGGGGCGGAAGCCGUAUGCAGCAACGCCGCGUGCGGGAUGACGGCCUUCGGGUUGUAACCCGUUUUCGCCUGUGACGAAGCGUGAGUGACGGUAAUGGGUAAAGAAGCACCGGCUAACUACGUG
rnacentral:rRNA from 1 species